UCAAAUUAUAAUAAAAUGCUCCGCAGGGCGCAGCUUGAUACGACCGCAGAGGUCGAACCCUGAACAGUUGGGGCAAGUAUGGACACAACAUUCAAGCUUGAUACAGCACUGAAUUUGGAUUGUAAUUAAAUAUUUGACACAGCAUAGGUUUCUGACACAGAAUGAAUGUGGUCUAAGAACUUAAAAAUUUUUAAUUUAUCUAUUCAAACCAUAUCAUUAUUAUUUGCUUUUAUAUAUAAAUCAGAAAUAACCAAUUUAAAAUGGAAAAUUUCAAAGAAAAAAAAAGGAAAAAAAAAUCCCUCCCACAAAUUUUUUCAACCCCCUUAUGAUUCAUCACCCCCAAACUCAAUCCCAGCCUUCCCUUUGUGGUACGGUACCUUGCAGUACAUAUGAUGGACUGUGAAACUAAGAUCAGGAGUUUGGGAAAUUUUGGUCAGGAGAUUAGGACUCAGAUCAGGAGGUUUUUAAUGGACAUAAAUUCUGUCGUAAAUGUAACCGUGUGCUGUAGAAAUUGUCUGUUAAAGUGUGUUUUCUUCAACUUUCCAUACGAAUGUAUUAUGUUUAUAGUACCCUUGUACUUAUAAAUUUUCUCUAUCUUUUUAAACUUUCAACUUGUUCAAUCUAACAUUCUUCUUUUUUAGUAUGUUCUUUAAAUUUUUUAGGUCAUAUCUUUUUUUUCCAUUAUUCAUUGCAAUCAGAAUAUUUGCUUAUCUAUCUGCAAGUAGAUCUUUUAUUUUUAUCUUUAUGCAAGUAGAUUUUUAAUGCAUGAUAAGUAACACAUUCAAACUGUAAUUAUGGGUCAUAGUUAAUAUAUAAAUUUCAAUUUAAGCCUUGAAAGGAAGUAUAGAACCCUCAAAUAAUUUUCAAAUUAUUAUUUUUUUAUUUGUCCUAAGACAUUGAAAAUCAUUUAAUUACCAUCCUUUUAUGAUUAUUUGUUCAAUUUAUAUUUUAUUUAUAUUCUUUUAAAAAUUUACAUUAUUUAAAGGAAA